rnacentral:rRNA from 1 species
UACGUAGGUGGCAAGCGUUGUCCGGAUUUAUUGGGCGUAAAGCGCGCGCAGGUGGUGCGGUAAGUCUGCCGUGAAAUCUCCCGGCUCAACUGGGAGGGGGCGGUGGAGACUGCCGGACUGGAGGGACCUAGAGGCCGGUGGAAUUCCGAGUGUAGAGGUGAAAUUCGUAGAUAUUCGGAAGAACACCAGUGGCGAAGGCGGCUCACUGGCCCGUUACCGACGCUCAGGCGCGACAGCGUGGGGAGCAAACAGG